rnacentral:piRNA from 1 species
UGAGCAAGCCUGCGUUUUAACCCUGCCU